rnacentral:tRNA from 1 species
GCGGGUGUAGCACAAUGGUAGUGCACUUGGUUGCCAAUCAAGGUACGUGGGUUCGAUUCCCAUCACCCGCUCCA